UGGUCUAUGAUGUAGUGGUUUGAGUGUUGGACUGGGACUCUGGAGAACAGGGUUCAAAUCCCUGCUGGAGCAU